UACGGAGGAUGCAAGCGUUAUCCGGAAUGAUUGGGCGUAAAGCGUCCGCAGGUGGCUGUGUAAGUCUGCUGUCAAAGAGCGAAGCUCAACUUCGUAAAGGCAGUGGAAACUACACGGCUAGAGUGCGUUCGGGGCAGAGGGAAUUCCUGGUGUAGCGGUGAAAUGAGUAGAGAUCAGGAAGAACACCGGUGGCGAAGGCGCUCUGCUAGGCCGCAACUGACACUGAGGGACGAAAGCUAGGGGAGCGAAUGGG
rnacentral:rRNA from 1 species